AUACGGAGGAACAAGUAUACCAUGAAUCUUGUCGACGUGGAUUAAGGUACAAGUCAAGAAGAAAAUACUUGAUGAUCACAAGUAAAUCGUUAAUGCAUCUACUACCUUUCAGUCUAGAGCGAUAAUAUCCAAACAGUACUUGAGAUUGAGCAUAGUAGAGCCCCCUAACACGAUCAUCCACAACCUUGCUACCAAUUUCGCGUAAACCAAGGAUGUCA